rnacentral:rRNA from 1 species
UACGGGGGGAGCAAGCGUUGUUCGGAUUUACUGGGCGUAAAGGGCGCGUAGGCGGCGCAACAAGUCACUUGUGAAAUCUCCGGGCUUAACUCGGAAAGGUCAAGUGAUACUGUUGUGCUAGAGUGCGGAAGGGGAAACUGGAAUUCUCGGUGUAGCGGUGAAAUGCGUAGAUAUCGAGAGGAACACCUGCGGCGAAGGCGGGUUGCUGGGCCGACACUGACGCUGAUGCGCGAAAGCCAGGGGAGCGAACGGG